CUUUGAAACAGGGAUGGGGCUCAGAAGCCCACGUACUCAGCUUCCUCUCCCUGAGGGCAGACAGCGACCCAGUCAAGCAGGACUUCCCUUGCAGCUGGAGGAGGCCUAGAAGGCUCUGUGAAUCUGGGGAAUUUCUGGGUGUUAUUGGAUCCAACACAGCAGCACUGGAGCAGAGAGGUCACCAGGAGAUAGGCUGGAUGUCCAGAAGGGAUCCUGCCUCCUCCAUCCCCAGAUGGAAGGCCCAACCCUGUGGCUCUCACUCUCAUGCCCUGGGAAAGAGCAGCACCUGGUUUUGCCAGCCCUUCCCUCCAGCAUCUCUGCCAUUUGUAAAGAAAGGUAAAUGGUACUUUCAGACAUCAAUUUUUUUUCUUGCUCAAGGUGGAGAACAGCCCAUCACCCUAUUUUCUUCUUUCCAGGUCUUAUUUUCUGGAGAAUCAAUCUGUUACAAGAUGCCUGUCCUUACAGCAACAAAACAAGAUGGCAGACAUCUCCCCUUCAUGGAGUCCCAAGCAGCACUUUUUUUUUCUGGAACCUGCUGCACACAAGCAAACUGCCCCCAGCCAUGGAAGAACUCUACAGUGGCAUAAAGAACUCCUCUGGCUUCAAG
rnacentral:lncRNA from 1 species